GACCACGUGGCCUAAUGGACAAGGCGUUUGACUUCGAAUCAGAAGGUUGAGGGUUCGAGUCCCUUCGUGGUUG